rnacentral:rRNA from 1 species
UACGGAGGGGGGCUAGCGUUGUUCGGAAUUACUGGGCGUAAAGCGUGCGUAGGCGGUUGGCAAAGUCAGCUGUGAAAGCCCCGGGCUUAACCUGGGAAUGGCGGUUGAAACUAGUCGACUAGAAUCUGGCAGAGGGGGGUGGAAUUCCACGUGUAGCAGUGAAAUGCGUAGAGAUGUGGAGGAACACCGAUGGCGGAAGGGACAGCCCCCCUGGGUCAAGA